GUUCUUUUGUAUGAAGAAAAAUUUGAAAAUGAUAAAAGCUAAGAUGCCUUCUAACUUCAUAAACAAAUCUAUAAUCUAAUGAUACGUCAAAAAGUCACUCCACACAUACCAACUUUUUUCCUGUGAACAUGGUAAAAAGGCAUCUGAUAUUUUAGAUGUAUCCAUAUUUAUAAAAGUGUAAAGCACAAUGGAAUUAUGCUGGAAGUCUCAAA
rnacentral:lncRNA from 1 species